rnacentral:rRNA from 1 species
UACGGAGGGCGCAAGCGUUAUCCGGAUUUACUGGGUUUAAAGGGUGCGUAGGCGGGCAUGUAAGUCAGUGGUGAAAUACCGGAGCUUAACUUCGGAACUGCCAUUGAUACUAUAUGUCUUGAAUAUUGUGGAGGUAAGCGGAAUAUGUCAUGUAGCGGUGAAAUGCAUAGAUAUGACAUAGAACACCGAUUGCGGAGGCAGCUUGCUACACAAAUAGUGACGCUGAGGCACGAAAGCGUGGGGAUCAAACAGG